rnacentral:rRNA from 1 species
AGAGUUGAUCAUGGCUCAGAACGAACGCUGGCGGCAUGCCUAACACAUGCAAGUCGAACGAGACCUUCGGGUCUAGUGGCGCACGGGUGCGUAACGCGUGGGAAUCUGCCCUUGGGCUCGGAAUAACAGUGGGAAACUACUGCUAAUACCGGAUGAUGUCUUCGGACCAAGAUUUAUCGCCCAGGAUGAGCCCGCGUAAGAUUAGCUAGUUGGUGAGGUAAAGGCUCACCAAGCUACGAUCUUUACUGGUCUGAGAGGAUGAUCAGCCACACUGGGACUGAGACACGGCCCAGACUCCUACGGGAGGCAGCAGUGGGGAAUAUUGGACAAUGGGCGAAAGCCUGAUCCAGCAAUGCCGCGUGAGUGAUGAAGGCCUUAGGGUUGUAAAGCUCUUUUACCCGGGAUGAUAAUGACAGUACCGGGAGAAUAAGCUCCGGCUAACUCCGUGCCAGCAGCCGCGGUAAUACGGAGGGAGCUAGCGUUGUUCGGAAUUACUGGGCGUAAAGCGCACGUAGGCGGCUUUGUAAGUUAGAGGUGAAAGCCCGGGGCUCAACUCCGGACUGCUUUAAGACUGCAUCGCUUGAAUCCAGGAGAGGUGAGUGAAUUCCGAGUGUAGAGGUGAAUCGUAGAUAUCGGAAGACACAGUGGCGAAGCGGCUCACUGGACUGGCAAUUGAC